rnacentral:rRNA from 1 species
CAGCAGCCGCCACGGUAAAACGAAGGGUGCAAGCGUUAAUCGGAAUUACUGGGCGUAAAGCGUGCGUAGGCGGUGAGUUAAGUCUGCUGUGAAAUCCCCAGGCUCAACCUGGGAAUGGUAGUGGAUACUGGCUCGCUAGAGUGUGUCGGAGGAUGGUGGAAUUCCCGGUGUAGCGGUGAAAUGCGUAGAGAUCGGGAGGAACAUCAGUGGCGAAGGCGGCCAUCUGGGACAACACUGACGCUGAGGCACGAAAGCGUGGGGAGCAAACAGGAUUAGAUACCCCCGUAGUCCCUGUCUCUUAUAC